rnacentral:lncRNA from 1 species
CUGAUCCUGUGAAUUUAGCAUUAAGUCAUGAUACCAUUUUAAGUCAAUUGAAUGUUCAGUUCUUAUUUAAAAACUUUUGAUCUUAAGGUAGAUAGUGAACACACAUUACCUUACGCAAUAAAUACGACCCACGUUAUAGGUAACAAGCAUUUAAUGGGGCUCUUGAUCAUCUUCGAAAUGAUUUCCCACACACAAUGUUGAACAGUCUGUUACCUAUGUCUCCUGCCUUAAAAUCAAACAUUUUCGGGCAUGAAAGCAAAACAUCCCUUGCUACUCACAUGCAGUUCUGUUAAUAUACUUUUUGAGUUUACACCAUUCUAUUUUUGUUUUUGCUGAAGACCACAUAUGAUCUCCAUCACAAUCUUCUUAAUGUUUGUCAUAUGCCUUCUAAAUUUCACAAAGAUCUUAACUUUCUCAUAUACUAGUUUAAUGUCAAAUUAUUGAUGCUGUAGUUCCAGGAUGCUGAUCUCUAAUGCUGAUGUUGAGGUCACUUUGUUAAGGUUUGAAUCUUGACACUUCCUAUCUGUUGCCCCUUUCUUUGCUCCUGUUUAUUUUGGUCAUGCAGCUCAAAAGUGACACGACAUAAUUUUACUUGAAUUUUCUUCCUUUUUGAUGUUGGAUUUUUUAAGUGAGUUAUUUGAGUUUCUGAAGUUGUUCUUUAUCGAUCCAAUGCCAUAUGGCAACGAACAACUUUUUUCUAAUAUAUUAGAUAUUAGUUCUCAGAUAUCAGAAUUGUUCAGAUGGUUAUUGAGCAUAUUAGCUUCAAAACUAAGUACGUAAUAGCCCUGGGAAUCUAAAAUUUUCACAAAUUGUCCCAUGAAUAAACUUCUUUUAUUUCAUACCAAACGUGGAUCCUAUACAAUAGUUUCUCAAAGAAACCUAAAGUUAUGCUGGAGUGUUCAGCUUGCAGUUGGCAAAAUCUUUGUGUGGAAAUUAGCAAAGAGUUUCCCAGCACUUGUAAUGUGGCAUGAAGCUGGGUCGAUACCUCAUUUGGCAGGAAAAAAAUUGUGAAAUAGAUUCUGUACAUGGGGUCGGAUUGGUUGUUGGAGAUACAUAUUGAUUUAACUGGACUUGUAAUUUUCAGUUUUUUACAAUCGUAUGAUUUACUAAUGAUGCAAGUUUAUCAGGCCUACUCCUUUUCCAAUGGUCAAUAGAGUUCACUACAUUUCUUCUAAGCUGAAGGUUAGUGGUGAAAAUACAUUGAUGAUUUACAUUGUACCAAUGAUUUUUUUCCUAACUGUGAUUAUGGGAAUGACAGUUGCUGAGUGGUGUCCGAAAUUACUCAUCUUUAGGUAUGAUUUUUCUGAGUUCUAUAUUGCAACUCCUUAAGCGGGUUUGUCUAUUUGAGAAAUUUUCAGAUUCUUUAGAUUUAAAAGGAAGAAAAUCCUGAGAAAAGUGAACGAGGACUCAAAGGAACCAUAAAAAAUAAUAUAAAAGAAAAGAGUGAAAUUAUUUGCAGCAGUUCUCCAGUCAUCAGCGUUUUCUUACUGAAGUUGCAACUUCACCUAGGGUGGCUUUCAUUGCACUUCAGAGGGCAUACCUCUUCAAUUGUUCUCUUGUCUAAGUUCCAAUUCUAUUAAAUGCCCGAAAAAACCCUUGAGACAUUCUCUAUUAAGAAAAAACAACACAAAAAGCUGAGGCCAAUUAACAAAAAACCCAAAAUGCCAAUACAAAGGAAUGCACAUGUGGUUACCCUAGGCUUAUGCAAUGAGGUGUGCUCCUUAGGAAGUAGAGAUGAAAGCUCGAAGUGUAAGCUUUAAGACUCUUAAUAAAAGCCUCAUGUGGUGAGACCUGCCUAUUGUAUUCCUCGGCUCUUCUCUAUUUCUACUCAAAUAUUAAACUUGAUAUCCACUGAAAUGUGAUACACAUGAGUGCUUCCCUGUGUAUGCAUCUUCUGAUGUGUGGGUGUUUAUUCCACUAUUUCUCUUUCUGUAAGUCUGUCUGAUCGUGGCAGUAUGCACUUGGACUAAUUGUUCUGUACAGAUUUGAAUUUGACUGUCAAUUUUUGGAGGUCAAUUUCCUUGCAGACUCAAGGUAACAUUUCAAAGUGGAAGAAGAAAGGGAGAUAAGGUCCGUCACAUUAAGUAGUUAUUUUCUGAACAAGGAUAGGAUGGCUUUUUAUUUAUAUAUAUGAUGCCAAUUAAAAAUAACUGCGAAGAGUAUUUGUUGACUUGGAACAAAGACAUCCGAGUUUUGAUGAUUUCUGACUGUGAUUUUAUUUGUCUUGACUUUUAAUGGAUCUAAUAGAUAGAAGUGGGGGAUGUGAUAUGUGAAAUAGAGACGGACAAAGCUACCCUUG